AGCGGCGGACGGGUGAGUAACGCGUGGGUAACCUACCCUGUACACACGGAUAACAUACCGAAAGGUAUGCUAAUACGAGAUAAUAUAUUUUAAUCGCAUGGUUAAGAUAUCAAAGCUCCGGCGGUACAGGAUGGACCCGCGUCUGAUUAGCUAGUUGGUGAGGUAAUGGCUCACCAAGGCGACGAUCAGUAGCCGACCUGAGAGGGUGAUCGGCCACACUGGAACUGAGACACGGUCCAGACUCC
rnacentral:rRNA from 1 species